UCAUUCUUUGUGUCUCUAAUGAAUAAAUAAAAUCUUAAAAAAAAAAGAAAAGAAAGAUUAGCAUGGCCCCUGCUCAAAGAUGACACACAAAUACAUGAAGUGUUCCAUAUUUUU
rnacentral:snRNA from 1 species